rnacentral:rRNA from 1 species
UUGAUAGGAAGCUUGCUUCCUUGAUACUUAGCGGCGGACGGGUGAGUAACACGUAGGCAACCUGCCCUCAAGUUUGGGACAACUACCGGAAACGGUAGCUAAUACCGAAUAGUUGUUUUCUUCGCCUGAAGGAAACUGGAAAGACGGAGCAAUCUGUCACUUGGGGAUGGGCCUGCGGCGCAUUAGCUAGUUGGUGGGGUAACGGCUCACCAAGGCGACGAUGCGUAGCCGACCUGAGAGGGUGAUCGGCCACACUGGGACUGAGACACGGCCCAGACUCCUACGGGAGGCAGCAGUAGGGAAUCUUCCGCAAUGGGCGAAAGCCUGACGGAGCAAUGCCGCGUGAGUGAUGAAGGUUUUCGGAUCGUAAAGCUCUGUUGCCAGGGAAGAACGCUUGGGAGAGUAACUGCUCUCAAGGUGACGGUACCUGAGAAGAAAGCCCCGGCUAACUACGUGCCAGCAGCCGCGGUAAUACGUAGGGGGCAAGCGUUGUCCGGAAUUAUUGGGCGUAAAGCGCGCGCAGGCGGU